rnacentral:rRNA from 1 species
UACGGAGGAUGCGAGCGUUAUCCGGAUUUAUUGGGUUUAAAGGGUGCGUAGGCGGGAUGCCAAGUCAGCGGUAAAAAUGCGGUGCUCAACGCCGUCGAGCCGUUGAAACUGGCGUUCUUGAGUGGGCGAGAAGUAUGCGGAAUGCGCGGUGUAGCGGUGAAAUGCAUAGAUAUCACGCAGAACUCCGAUUGCGAAGGCGGCAUACCGGCGCCCUACUGACGCUGAGGCACGAAAGCGUGGGUAUCGAACAGG